UCGGGGUACACGAGUGGCGAACGGGUGAGUAACACGUGGGUGAUCUGCCCUGUACUUCGGGAUAAGCCUGGGAAACUGGGUCUAAUACCGGAUAUGACCUUCUCCUGCAUGGGGGUUGGUGGAAAGCUUUUGCGGUACAGGAUGGGCCCGCGGCCUAUCAGCUUGUUGGUGGGGUAAUGGCCUACCAAGGCGACGACGGGUAGCCGGCCUGAGAGGGCGACCGGCCACACUGGGACUGAGACACGGCCCAGACUCCUACGGGAGGCAGCAGUGGGGAAUAUUGCACAAUGGGCGCAAGCCUGAUGCAGCGACGCCGCGUGAGGGAUGACGGCCUUCGGGUUGUAAACCUCUUUCAGUAGGGACGAAGCGCAAGUGACGGUACCUACAGAAGAAGCACCGGCCAACUACGUGCCAGCAGCCGCGGUAAUACGUAGGGUGCAAGCGUUGUCCGGAAUUACUGGGCGUAAAGAGCUCGUAGGCGGUUUGUCACGUCGUCUGUGAAAACCCGAGGCUUAACCUCGGGCCUGCAGGCGAUACGGGCAGACUUGAGUACUGUAGGGGAGACUGGAAUUCCUGGUGUAGCGGUGGAAUGCGCAGAUAUCAGGAGGAACACCGGUGGCGAAGGCGGGUCUCUGGGCAGUAACUGACGCUGAGGAGCGAAAGCGUGGGUAGCGAACAGGAUUAGAUACCCUGGUAGUCCACGCCGUAAACGGUGGGUACUAGGUGUGGGUCCCUUCCAC
rnacentral:rRNA from 1 species